rnacentral:rRNA from 1 species
AGCNGGCUUCCAUNCAGUCGAGGGGCAGCAUUUUAGUUUGNUUGCAAACUAAAGAUGGCGACCGGCGCACGGGCUGAGCUAACACGCUAUCCNACCUGCCGAUAACUCGGGGAUAGCCUUUCGAAAGAAAGAUUAAUAUCCGAUAGUAUAUUAAAACCGCAUGGUUUUACUAUUAAAGAAUUUCGGUUAUCGAUGGGGAUGCGUUCCAUUAGUUUGUUGGCGGGGUAACGGCCCACCAAGACUACGAUGGAUAGGGGUUCUGAGAGGAAGGUCCCCCACAUUGGAACUGAGACACGGUCCAAACUCAUACGGGAGGCAGCAGUGAGGAAUAUUGGUCAAUGGACGAGAGUCUGAACCAGCCAAGUAGCGUGAAGGAUGACUGCCCUAUGGGUUGUAAACUUCUUUUAUAUGGGAAUAAAGUAUUNCCACGUGUGGGAUUUUUGUAUGUACCAUAUGAAUAAGGAUCGGCUAACUCCGUGCCAGCAGCCGCGGUAAUACGGAGGAUCCGAGCGUUAUCCGGAUUUAUUGGGUUUAAAGGGAGCGUAGGUGGAUUGUUAAGUCAGUUGUGAAAGUUUGCGGCUCAACCGUAAAAUUGCAGUUGAAACUGGCAGUCUUGAGUACAGUAGAGGUGGGCGGAAUUCGUGGUGUAGCGGUGAAAUGCUUAGAUAUCACGAAGAACUCCGAUUGCGAAGGCAGCUCACUAGACUGCAACUGACACUGAUGCUCGAAAGUGUGGGUAUCAAACAGGAUUAGAUACCCUGGUAGUCCACACAGUAAACGAUGAAUACUCGCUGUUUGCGAUAUACAGUAAGCGGCCAAGCGAAAGCAUUAAGUAUUCCACCUGGGGAGUACGCCGGCAACGGUGAAACUCAAAGGAAUUGACGGGGGCCCGCACAAGCGGAGGAACAUGUGGUUUAAUUCGAUGAUACGCGAGGAACCUUACCCGGGCUUAAAUUGCAUUUGAAUAAUCUGGAAACAGGUUAGCCGCAAGGCAAAUGUGAAGGUGCUGCAUGGUUGUCGUCAGCUCGUGCCGUGAGGUGUCGGCUUAAGUGCCAUAACGAGCGCAACCCUUAUCUUUAGUUACUAACAGGUCAUGCUGAGGACUCUAGAGAGACUGCCGUCGUAAGAUGUGAGGAAGGUGGGGAUGACGUCAAAUCAGCACGGCCCUUACGUCCGGGGCUACACACGUGUUACAAUGGGGGGUACAGAAGGCAGCUACCUGGCGACAGGAUGCUAAUCCCAAAAACCUCUCUCAGUUCGGAUCGAAGUCUGCAACCCGACUUCGUGAAGCUGGAUUCGCUAGUAAUCGCGCAUCAGCCAUGGCGCGGUGAAUACGUUCCCGGGCCUUGUACACACCGCCCGUCAAGCCAUGAAAGCCGGGGGUACCUGAAGUACGUACCGCAAGGAGCUCC